GGGGAAAUGGUGUAGGGGUAGCACACCUGCUUUGCAUGGUUUCGUGUGAUUUGCAGUAGGUCCGGGGUUCAAAUCCCCGUUUCUCCA
rfam:Purpureocillium lilacinum isolate PLFJ-1 scaffold00003, whole genome shotgun sequence.